CAGUCGCCGCGGUAAUACGAAGGGUGCAAGCGUUACUCGGAAUUACUGGGCGUAAAGCGUGCGUAGGUGGUGGUUUAAGUCCGUUGUGAAAGCCCUGGGCUCAACCUGGGAAUUGCAGUGGAUACUGGGUCACUAGAGUGUGGUAGAGGAUAGUGGAAUUUCCGGUGUAGCAGUGAAAUGCGUAGAGGUCGGAAGGAACAUCUGUGGCGAAGGCGACUAUCUGGGCCAACACUGACACUGAGGCACGAAAGCGUGGGGAGCAAACAGGAUUAGAUACCCGCGUAGUCCCUGUCUCUUAUAC
rnacentral:rRNA from 1 species